GUGCCAGCAGCUGCGGUAAUACGUAGGGCGCAAGCGUUGUCCGGAAUUAUUGGGCGUAAAGAGCUCGUAGGCGGCUUGUCGCGUCGGUUGUGAAAGCCCGGGGCUUAACCCCGGGUCUGCAGUCGAUACGGGCAGGCUAGAGUGUGGUAGGGAGAUCGGAAUUCCUGGUGUAGCGGUGAAAUGCGCAGAUAUCAGGAGGAACACCGGUGGCGAAGGCGGAUCUCUGGGCCAUUACUGACGCUGAGGAGCGAAAGCGUGGGAGCGAACAGGAUUAGAUACCCUGGUAAGUCCACG
rnacentral:rRNA from 1 species